GACGAACGCUGGCGGCGUGCUUAACACAUGCAAGUCGAACGGAAAGGCCCUGCUUUUGUGGGGUGCUCGAGUGGCGAACGGGUGAGUAACACGUGAGUAACCUGCCCUUGACUUUGGGAUAACUUCAGGAAACUGGGGCUAAUACCGUAUAGGAGCUCCUGCUGCAUGGUGGGGGUUGGAAAGUUUCGGCGGUUGGGGAUGGACUCGCGGCUUAUCAGCUUGUUGGUGGGGUAGUGGCUUACCAAGGCUUUGACGGGUAGCCGGCCUGAGAGGGUGACCGGCCACAUUGGGACUGAGAUACGGACCAGACUCCUACGGGGGGCAGCAGGGGGGAAUAUUGCACAAUGGGCGGAAGCCUGAUGCAGCAACGCCGCGUGCGGGAUGACGGCCUUCGGGUUGUAAACCGCUUUCGCCUGUGACGAAGCGUGAGUGACGGUAAUGGGUAAAGAAGCACCGGCUAACUACGUG
rnacentral:rRNA from 1 species